rnacentral:rRNA from 1 species
AAAGGAAUAGACGGGGACCCGCACAAGCGGUGGAUGAUGUGGAUUAAUUCGAUGCAACGCGAAAAACCUUACCUACCCUUGACAUGUCCGGAACCUCCUGGAAACUGGAGGGUGCUCGCAAGAGAGCCGGAACACAGGUGCUGCAUGGCUGUCGUCAGCUCGUGUCGUGAGAUGUUGGGUUAAGUCCCGCAACGAGCGCAACCCUCGCCAUUAGUUGCUACGUAAGGGCACUCUAAUGGGACUGCCGGUGACAAACCGGAGGAAGGUGGGGAUGACGUCAAGUCCUCAUGGCCCUUAUGGGUAGGGCUUCACACGUCAUACAAUGGUCGGGACAGAGGGCUGCCAAACCGCGAGGUGGAGCCAAUCCCAGAAACCCGAUCGUAGUCCGGAUUGCAGGCUGCAACUCGCCUGCAUGAAGCAGGAAUCGCUAGUAAUCGCGGAUCAGAAUGCCGCGGUGAAUACGUUCCCGGGUCUUGUACACACCGCCCGU